GUAUUAUACUCUUUACAACUUUGUACUAUUAACUGUAUUAAAAACCCAAACAGGGCUUAAUACAGACAAACUGGGCAUUAAUACAGGGCCAUUACAGAAAAACAGGGCCAUUACAGAAAAAAAAACAGGGCCAUUACAGAAAAACAGGGCCAUAACAGAAAAAACAGGGCCAUUACAGAAAAACAGGGCCAUUACAGAAAAAAACAGGGCC
rnacentral:lncRNA from 1 species